rnacentral:rRNA from 1 species
CCUACGGGGGGCAGCAGUGAGGAAUAUUGGUCAAUGGCCGAGAGGCUGAACCAGCCAAGUCGCGUGAGGGAAGACGGCCCUACGGGUUGUAAACCUCUUUUGUCGGGGAGCAAAGCGAGUCACGUGUGACUCAUUGAGAGUACCCGAAGAAAAAGCAUCGGCUAACUCCGUGCCAGCAGCCGCGGUAAUACGGAGGAUGCGAGCGUUAUCCGGAUUUAUUGGGUUUAAAGGGUGGGCAGGCGGAGGUGCAAGUCAGCGGUCAAAUUGCGGGGCUCAACCCCGUACUGCCGUUGAAACUGCAUGCCUUGAGUGCGCGAGAGGUAGGCGGAAUGCGUGGUGUAGCGGUGAAAUGCAUAGAUAUCACGCAGAACUCCGAUUGCGAAGGCAGCAUACCGGCGCGCAACUGACGCUCAUGCACGAAAGCGUGGGUAUCGAACAGGAUUAGAUACCCCUGUAGUC